rnacentral:rRNA from 1 species
AUGGCGCCCUCACCGCCAAGGACCGCAUGCAUUCACCGCCACCGUCCAUUCUUCCGACUUCUAGUCCUCGUGCUCGCAGGAAUCCGGCCCGCCUCGUCGCAGUUCAUCUUCACGCCGCCGACGGCCGGAGCGACCUUCGCUUGGGCGUCAACCCCGCCCCCGCCCCCGCCGCCAGCUGCCGGGGGACUUGGCAGCGGGACCUUCAACGUUGCCACCUCGAUCCUCUUUGUGGGCGUGAUCGUGGCCCUCUUCUUGGUCGGCUUCUUCUCCGCGUACCUCCGCCGCUGCGCGGACGCCGCCACGGGCGCGCGCCGAGGUGGGGCCGCCGCGAACGCCAAUGCUGCCGUCGCGGCCGCUGCAGCGGCCGCAUUCUCGUCCGCGGUUAGCCGUAGCAGGAGGCGUCCCGGGCUCGACGUCGCCGCGGUGGAGGCGCUGCCGGUGCUGACGUACGCGAGGGCGAGGGCGGUCAAGGCGGGCCGCGGGGCUCUGGAGUGCGCGGUGUGCCUCGCCGAGUUCGCUGACGACGGGGAGAAGCUCCGUCUCCUCCCCGGGUGCUGCCAUGUCUUCCACGCGGCGUGCAUCGACGUGUGGCUCGCGGCGCACGUCACCUGCCCAGUGUGCCGAGCCGAUUUGGCCGACCCGGCCGUCGCCGCCGCCGGCCACGUCCUAGCGGCUGACCUCGCUGCUCAGCAGGCAGAGACGGCGGAGGAGCGCGUGGAUCGGUUCACGCUGCGGCUGCCGGAGAGGCUGAGGAGGGAGAUCGAGGACGCGAAGCGGCUUCGCAGAGCGAUGAGCGCGGUGACCACCGCGGCAGCGGCAAGCACGUCAAGCGGGCGGUGGGUGCCGUCGGCGUUACGGACAAUGUCGGCAGCGCGUCCUAGCGGUCGAUGGUCGGCGCUGUUCCGCGCGUUGUCGGGACCACACCGAAACGAGCUGGGCGGCAGCAGCCGGAGGGUGGCGCCGGUGCAAACUCACGCCGCCAGCGGUGACGCGGUGGAGGUGGUGGUGGUGCAGGACGACGCCGGGCAAGAGGAGAAGUACUAUGCGCACAGCCUCACGUUCGCCGGGUUCGUCAUUGACGGUGACGUCGCAGCUGGCGACUGGAACCCGGAGGUCUUCCAGAUCUUCUCUGCCGUCCCGGUGGCGGCGACGUCGCAGCGAUGA